rnacentral:lncRNA from 1 species
UGUGUGUAGUUGUGGAGUUUAUAGCUUUCCUUUGACUCAAAUCCUUCUUCCCUAUCACCGGCUUACAUGUUAGAGGCCUGUAACAGGAGACCAGUUCCAGGCCAACCUGUGGUUAAAAGAACCUCAGCCUGUGAGCAAAUGUUACUCCUCCUCCGCACUCGAGGACCCUGUGGCAGCCCAGCCUGUCAGGCCUCUGCAGACAUGAGUUGGCCUGGUUCUCCCUGCUGCCAUCCCUCACCCGCCAAUCCCCAAUCAGUCUUCACUGUAUAAACAAGUGCUUCACUGAACAGCCCAGCGCAUCUGCGAAAGAUCCAACACGCAGCCCUUCUCGUUCCUUUGAGUGGAUCCAUUUGAAAAGCUCCUGUCUCCUGGCUGGGUGUGGUGGCUCACGCCUGUAAUCCCAGCACUUUGGGAGGCCGAGGCGGGUGGAUCACGAGGUCAGGAGUUUGAGACCAGCCUGGCCAACAUGGCGAAACCCCGUCUCUACUAAAAAUACAAAAAUUAGCCAGGCGUGGUGGCGGGUGCCUGUAAUCCCAGCUACUCAGGAGACUGAGGCAAAAGAAUGGCUUGAACCCGGGAGGCGGAGGUUGCAGUGAGCCGAGAUUGAGCCACUGCACUCCAGCCUGGGCGACAGAGCAAGACACCAUCAAAAACAAAACAAAACAAAACAAAACAAAACAACCCCUCUCUACAAAAAAAUUAAAAUUAAACAAAUCAGUUGGGCAGGGUGGUGCACCUGUAGUCCUAGUUGCUCUGGAGGCUGAGACAGGAGGAUGGCUUGAGCCUGGGAGGUGGAGGCUGCAGGGAGCCAUGGUCUCUCCUUCACAUUCCGGCCUGGGAGCAAGCCCUUCAUCUCUAAAAUAAUAAUAAUAAUAAAAUAAAUAAAUAAAUAAAUAAAUAAAUAAAUAAAUAAACUGUCUCCAAAUCCUUCCAUUCUAGUCCAGGCCUCUUUUGAGUUAGCUCUAUUUUUUCCUAAUACUCAUUAAAUAAAUGCUUGCAGCCGGAGCUUCCUGGCCAAGCUGGGCCAGCAGCCCAGGCCCCCACCAAAGGCUCAGAGUGAGCUGGGCACCACCAGGCCUUGAGGCCUUCCAGAGGCUUCUACUCCAGGGCACUCUGAGGCCGGGGGCUGUGGGUGGCUAACAGACUAUGCCGCCAGCUGGGAGCAGAGGGGGCCCCAUCUCUGCCCCAAAUCCAAGUCUGGCCAGCUCAUAACCACACGAUGAGAUACGACUUGUGUGUGUGUGUGUGUGUGUGUUUUCUUCUAGAGAUACAAUUAUUAAUCUUACAUUACAGGGGGAGAAACCAGGCAGCCCACCUUCAGAGCCCGCGUCUUAACUGUGACCCCACGUUGAAAUAAAAUGUGGAAACUGCCCACAGACACACCUCGUGGUGGCUACGAGUCACAGGGGCUGCACUUCUGCCUCUUGGGGAGUUGCUUGUUUGCUCCAUGCUGGUUUCCUCACCUCAGAAACUAGAGGCUGGUCUGAAAGCAGUGGUUUAUCUCGCCUGUUCAGUAAGUUACAGACCCAAUUCCUUGUUCUACUCUUUCCUCGCUGCUCACUACUGUCCUUGCCGUCAAGAAAAAAUAAAAAUAAAAAAAGGAAAGUUCCAGUCACUGUGCUGGGGGUUGAGGACGCACUGCACACGACAUAUCCCGGGCCAGCCUCAACCUUCAGGGUGGCGAGGGCAGCACCGAGGGAAGGAGCAGGAACCCAGGCAGAGGCGCCCAGGCACACGCAGAGGAGCCGCGCAGGAGGCCAGAGGCUGAGCCCUGAGGGGCGGGGACAGGCCGCUUCCCUGCGUGCAGUUUCACAAGCUCAAGCUGCUGUGUGCGGUCCGGAAAGAGUAGUAUGAGGCCUGACCACUGGCUUUGGCCGCCUGGUGAGAGCAGCAUCCGUGUGACAGUGAGCACAGCGGCCGGCUGAAGCUGCCGGGGAA